rnacentral:rRNA from 1 species
CCUACGGGAGGCAGCAGUGAGGAAUAUUGCGCAAUGGGGGAACCCUGACGCAGCAACGCCGCGUGGGUGAAGAAGGCCUUCGGGUCGUAAAGCCCUUUCGGACGGGACGAACGCUCCGCGGUGACAACCCGCGGAGUCUGACGGUACCGUAAGAAGAAGCACCGGCUAACUCCGUGCCAGCAGCCGCGGUAAUACGGAGGGUGCAAGCGUUGUUCGGAAUUACUGGGCGUAAAGCGCGUGUAGGCGGCCUUGCAAGCCAGACGUGAAAGCCCUCGGCUUAACCGGGGAAGUGCGUCUGGAACUGCUCGGCUCGAGUACGGGAGAGGGAGGCGGAAUUCCCAGUGUAGAGGUGAAAUUCGUAGAUAUUGGGAGGAACACCGGUGGCGAAAGCGGCCUCCUGGACCGAUACUGACGCUGAGACGCGAAAGCGUGGGGAGCAAACAGGAUUAGAUACCCUGGUAGUCCACGCUGUAAACGAUGGGCACUAGGUGUGGGGGGUAUCCACUCCUCCCGUGCCGCAGCUAACGCACUAAGUGCCCCGCCUGGGGAGUACGGCCGCAAGGUUAAAACUUAAAGGAAUUGACGG